GCUCCGGAGUCCUGGUAUCUCUGAGGGGCCAACCGGGCACAGGAGAGGGCCGCUGGAGGUUGGCCGGCCGCUCUCGGGUGUCAGGGUUGCGGAUCUGAGGGAUGAGGAGCGGCCAUGGCCAGCGACGGGGCCAGGAAGCAGUUCUGGAAGCGCAGCAACAGCAAGGUCCCGGGCAGCAUCCAGCAUGUGUAUGGAGCCCAGCACCCACCUUUUGAUCCGCUGUUACACGGCACCUUGCUCAAGUCCACGCCCAAGGUGCCCACCACCCCAGUGAAGGCCAAGCGGGUCAGCACCUUCCAGGAGUUUGAGAGCAAUACCAGUGACGCUUGGGAUGCGGGAGAAGAUGACGAUGAGCUCCUGGCA
rnacentral:lncRNA from 1 species